rnacentral:rRNA from 1 species
UACGGGGGGAGCAAGCGUUGUUCGGAUUUACUGGGCGUAAAGGGCGCGUAGGCGGCCACUGCAAGUCGGUUGUGAAAUCUCCGGGCUUAACCCGGAAAGGUCAAUCGAUACUGCAGGGCUAGAGUGCAGAAGGGGCAACUGGAAUUCUCGGUGUAGCGGUGAAAUGCGUAGAUAUCGAGAGGAACACCAGUGGCGAAGGCGAGUCUCUGGACGACUCCUGACACUGAGGCACGAAAGCUGGGGGAGCAAACAGG